GACGAACCGUACGGACGUUAUUCGGAAUCACUGGGCUUAAAGGGUGCGUAGGCGGCGCGACAAGUUGGGUGUGAAAUCCCUCGGCUCAACCGAGGAACUGCGCCCAAAACUGUCGUGCUCGAGGGAGACAGAGGUGAGCGGAACUUAGGGUGGAGCGGUGAAAUGCGUUGAUAUCCUAAGGAACACCGGUGGCGAAAGCGGCUCACUGGGUCUCUUCUGACGCUGAGGCACGAAAGCUAGGGUAGCGAACGGG
rnacentral:rRNA from 1 species